GGACAAGUGACUGAGUUCAGUUUCUUAAUGGGAUCUGUGAGAAAAUUAAAAGAAAUGUAAUUGCUCAUGAUCCUAAAACUUUUGAGGAAAGCACUACUCAUUGCCUCUUGUGAGGAAAUGAUCAAACAAAUAGCAGGUAAGCUGCAACCAUAUGUAGGUAGAAUACAAAAAUUAAGUGAGGGUGAUGCUGUGAACAAGUUAUCUACAACAGAGCAAAAUACUAAUUUUAAUGAAGAGUGCUUACGGACAGCAAUAAAGCAAAUCAGCAAUAUGCGUGACUGAACCUAGAAAAAUUAUGGGCACACAACCAUCUACUAUCUCACCAUGCAUAGAUCCACCACAGGACACAAAAGACUAUAUUAUGGGAAAUCUCACACAUCUUGUAAACUGUUACAAUAUAACUGGUAUUCACAACUUUACUUUCAAGACUUGAAAGAUAUGUGAGAAGGCCCAUAUGGUGAUUUCUGCAGACUCAAAAAUUUGGUAUUUCACAAGGGAGAGAAUAUUAUUGGUAUCCCUCUUUUCAAUCUCAACAGAUUUUGGAAGGACAAUAGUGACUCCUCAGCAACAAAGACCUCCAACAACUUCCUGAGGUGGAAACCAUAGUCAAUAUCAUAACAGAAUGAAUUCUAAACUAGUGCAGUAUAACCCGGCAACAAAAUAAUUAGUAGAAAUUAACAAUAAACAAAAUACACUUCCUCAUGCUAUUAUAUCCAUCAAGGAAAAGAAGAGACAGAAUGAUUGCAGCAGAAAAGAAAAAAUUCUAUCUAAUUAAAAAGAAGGUAUGAGACAAAAUUAGCUAGGAACUCCAACCCUAGUCAAAAAUGUUUAAUUAAUGGAUGGACUUCUUAUUUAACAAUAGAUAUAGUGUGAAGAGAUUGAUUCUAACCUGUCUUGUCUAUUAUUUUAUUAUGCUCUUUUAUUGUUUAUUGUUAUAUUCAAUAUUAAUUUAACAUAUUAUAUUUUCAGACAUUUUUACUAUAGAGGUGAUUAUAUAUAUAGUAAAAUUGAAAAAGUGACAAUGCAAAGUUGCUAAUUUCUAUCAAAUAUCAAUAAUAAGACUUAUAAU
rnacentral:lncRNA from 1 species